rnacentral:rRNA from 1 species
UACGCGGGGGGCGAGCGUUGUUCGGAAUUAUUGGGCGUAAAGGGUGCGUAGGCGGUUUGGUAAGUCUGAUGUGAAAUCUAUGGGCUCAACUCAUAGUCUGCAUCGGAAACUGCCGGGCUUGAGUGUGGGAGAGGUGAGUGGAAUUCCUGGUGUAGCGGUGAAAUGCGUAGAUAUCAGGAGGAACACCUGUGGCGAAAGCGGCUCACUGGACCAUAACUGACGCUGAUGCGCGAAAGCUAGGGGAGCAAACAGG